CUCGCCUCACGUCACGUGGUACACUUUCGGGUUUCGCGGAGCCAGGAUAAAAAGUCUUUACUAUAGCAGUGGGACAGGUGGCUUUUAAAAAUUGCACCAUCUGAAGCACUUCUACAGCAGGAGAAACUCUGCCACGCUAAGCCUAACGGCUUCGGAUGUGUGAUCUUGCGAAAGGUUUAAGCCUUGGGUAAGGUCAGCCCUCGGUGCACGUUACCCUGGACACCCUGUGUUUUGAAGGCACUGCGUAGCAGCAACGCAAAUAUUUGCUGCCUAUAUCUACAGUUAAGUGACCUUGGAGAAAUCAACGUUCUUUUCACGACCAUUUUAGACCAUUGACCAGGUACAGCUUAGAUGGCGUUGAUUCAGCGCUAGAAUCCAACAUUCAACGUUGUUCAACACAAGCCUGCUCGAUGCCGCACCUGCCUUUCUCACGACGUUGACCACAGGGGCAGAGAUGAGGAACGUACGCGACAAAGGGAACUCGCUACCAGUUAUGUUGCUGUGCCAGAAAUGUAACUAAGUUACUAACCAAGUUACACGUAUUGAAAAUAAACUUCAGGUUCGUAAGCUACUUUAGAAAAGUAAGGGGUUACUUUCAACUUACUUGAUGGGAAUGCAUGUGCUGAGACUGGAACACAAAGAAAGGAGAUGAGCUGAAGUGAUGUCGUUUCUGUGCCCGAGAAAUGCAUAGUUUGUCUUCGCCUUCAUUGCACAUAAAAAUUUGGCGAUUUCUGCAUCAAAGCACGCGCUUGUUUCAUGAUUUUUAAGAAUGCACAGCAGCUCUAGGUGCAUUUUCAAUGGCAAUUGGUUUCAAUGGUCAUGGAAAGCAACGGCCAUUGAAUAUACGGGUAGCAGAACCAAGCGUGUAACACGUUAACUGUUCAGUGUGAAUUGGAUCAUCUGCUUUUUGAAAAGUUUACGCUAUGCACGCACAGUAACGUUGCGUAUAUUUUCAAUGACCAUUGGCUUCGAUGGUGAUUGAAAGCAACGGCCAUUGAACAGAUGCGUAGCGCCACCAAGUGUGUAACAUGUUAAUUUUUCACUGUGGAAAAGUGAACGGAUUGAAAUACUGAUUGCGUUCAACACCGUAGCCUCGGAUUUUCGGGAAAACAUCUAAUUUCUGACAUUCUCUAAUUUGUUACAUCUAAUUUGAUAGGUUUAUUAAUACGUUUUGGGUAAUGAGUAGUCCAGUAGAUUUAUGCUAUUUCCCACUGGAUGUCCGCGUGGGAAAAACGU